GACGAACGCUGGCGGCGUGCCUAAUACAUGCAAGUAGGACGCAGUUGCGAACGGGUGAGUAACGCGUAGGUAACUACCUAUUAGAGGGGGAUAACUAUUGGAAACGAUAGCUAAUACCGCAUACUAGUAGAUGGACCUGCGUUGUAUUCGCUAGUAGGUAGGGGAAUGGCCUACCAAGGCAACGAUACAUAGCCGGCCCGAGGGGGGGAUCGGCCACACUGGGACUGAGACCACGCCCAGACUCCUACGGGAGGCAGCAGUAGGGAAUCUUCCGCAAAGGGGGGAACCCUGACCCAGGAACGCCGCCUGAAGGAAGAAGGUUUUCGGAUCGGAAAGCUCUGUUGUUAAGGGAGCGGUACUUAACCAGAAAGGGACGGCUAACUACGUGCCAGCAGCCGCGGUAAUUC
rnacentral:rRNA from 1 species